UACGUAGGGUGCAAGCGUUAAUCGGAAUUACUGGGCGUAAAGCGUGCGCAGGCGGUUUGGUAAGACAGAUGUGAAAUCCCCGGGCUCAACCUGGGAAUUGCAUUUGUGACUGCCCGACUAGAGUGUGUCAGAGGGGGGUAGAAUUCCACGUGUAGCAGUGAAAAUGCGUAGAGAUGUGGAGGAAUACCCGAUGGCGAAGGCAGCCCCCUGGGAUAACACUGACGCUCAUGCACGA
rnacentral:rRNA from 1 species